rnacentral:rRNA from 1 species
CCUACGGGAGGCAGCAGUGAGGAAUAUUGGUCAAUGGGCGGAAGCCUGAACCAGCCAUUCCGCGUGAAGGAAGAAGGCCCUACGGGUUGUAAACUUCUUUUCUGUAAGAAGAAAAAACUUAACGAGUUGAGGUAUGACGGUAUUACAGGAAUAAGCAUCGGCUAACUCCGUGCCAGCAGCCGCGGUAAUACGGAGGAUGCAAGCGUUAUCCGGAUUUAUUGGGUUUAAAGGGUGCGCAGGUUGUUUGGUAAGUCAGUGGUGAAAGUCUGUCGCUUAACGUCAGGAUUGCCAUUGAUACUGUUAAACUUGAGUAUGGGUGAGGUAUUCGGAAUGUGUAGUGUAGCGGUGAAAUGCAUAGAUAUUACACAGAACGCCGAUUGCGGAGGCAGGAUACUAGGCCAUUACUGACGCUGAGGCACGAAAGCGUGGGGAUCAAACAGGAUUAGAUACCCUGGUAGUCCACGCUGUAAACGAUGAUCACUCGCUGUUGGCGAUACACAGUCAGCGGCUAAGCGAAAGCAUUAAGUGAUCCACCUGGGGAGUACGGCGGCAACGUUGAAACUCAAAUGAAUUGACGGGAAGUUCC